rnacentral:rRNA from 1 species
GCAAGUCGAGCGGAAACGAUGGGAGCUUGCUCCCAGGCGUCGAGCGGCGGACGGGUGAGUAACGCGUAGGAACCUGCCUGAUAGAGGGGGAUAGCCCAGAGAAAUUUGGAUUAAUACCGCAUAAUGUCGAAAGACCAAAGCGGGGGACCUUCGGGCCUCGCGCUAUCAGAUGGGCCUGCGUGAGAUUAGCUAGUUGGUACGGUAAUGGCGUACCAAGGCGACGAUCUCUAGCUGGUCUGAGAGGAUGAUC